rfam:Lysinibacillus sinduriensis BLB-1 = JCM 15800 contig1, whole genome shotgun sequence.
UGGACAGUAUCAUUUCGAACUGUACCUUUCUAGGCGUUAAACAAAACAAUUAAAAAGAUCUGCCUUGAUCCAAUGAGAGACAGGGACGGAAGA